rnacentral:rRNA from 1 species
GUAGGGUGCGAGCGUUAAUCGGAAUUACUGGGCGUAAAGCGUGCGCAGGUGGUUGUGUAAGUCAGAUGUGAAAUCCCCGGGCUCAACCUGGGAACUGCAUUUGAGACUGCACGGCUAGAGGAUGGCAGAGGGGGGUAGAAUUCCACGUGUAGCAGUGAAAUGCGUAGAGAUGUGGAGGAAUACCGAUGGCGAAGGCAGCCCCCUGGGCUAUUUCUGACACUCAUGCACGAAAGCGUGGGGAGCAAAC